rnacentral:tRNA from 1 species
ACGGAUAUAUGUUAAUGGUAAACUCACCGAUUUCCACCCGGCCAAUGUCAGUUCGAUUCUGACUAUCCGUAC